CAGGAAGUGACUAGAGACUAUGGACAUGCUGGAAACAUGGAGAUUGAUUGUCAGUUUCAGCAGCUGUUAAUUUGCAUUAUUGCUGGUGGGUGACACUCUUUUGAAUGUAAGCAUUGCUUUCACUUGUAUAUAUUGUCUGUACUGCUUGUAUUGUGUAGGACAUUAGCACUGAGGAAGGGCUUGUUGCCCGAAACUUUUAUUUAUAUUGUGUCCUCUAAUAAACCGCAGUAGCACCUGGGUGUGCACUACCUACUUGAUGCGAAGACGUUUUUUGUCUAUCUGCUUGUUACAUUGUUGGAACUACAGUAAGGAGACCCUGCAGCUCGGAUUUAACUUUUCAUUACUGUGUUCUUUACCUUUGAUAAUCGGUGGGCAUCACUGAUGCCUCUGCCUCAUCUUGUGCAUAGUAACAUUAACGAAGGUAAUUUGAUCCACAUAUGGUGGAAGUGCACACCCAUUAAUACAUUUUGUGAAGAAGUAAUAAGGAUAAUAUAUCAACUAACGGAAAUAAAAUUACCUCUUAAGCCUGAAGUGGUCUUCGUAAACAUAAACUGGCCACAUAUGACAAAAAGAAC